rnacentral:rRNA from 1 species
AAAACACUAUUGAACGCUGGCGGCAUGCCUUACACAUGCAAGUCGAACGGUAACAGGUCUUCGGAUGCUGACGAGUGGCGAACGGGUGAGUAAUACAUCGGAACGUGCCCAGACGUGGGGGAUAACGAGGCGAAAGCUUUGCUAAUACCGCAUACGAUCUAAGGAUGAAAGCAGGGGACCGCAAGGCCUUGCGCGUUUGGAGCGGCCGAUGGCAGAUUAGGUAGUUGGUGGGAUAAAAGCUUACCAAGCCGACGAUCUGUAGCUGGUCUGAGAGGACGACCAGCCACACUGGGACUGAGACACGGCCCAG